rnacentral:rRNA from 1 species
AACGAACGCUGGCGGCAUGCCUAACACAUGCAAGUCGAACGAAGGCUUCGGCCUUAGUGGCGCACGGGUGCGUAACACGUGGGAAUCUGCCCUUUGCUUCGGAAUAACAGUUAGAAAUGACUGCUAAUACCGGAUAAUGUCGCAAGACCAAAGAUUUAUCGGCAAAGGAUGAGCCCGCGUAAGAUUAGGUAGUUGGUGGGGUAAUGGCCUACCAAGCCGACGAUCUUUAGCUGGUCUGAGAGGAUGAUCAGCCACACUGGGACUGAGACACGGCCCAGACUCCUACGGGAGGCAGCAGUGGGGAAUAUUGGACAAUGGGCGAAAGCCUGAUCCAGCAAUGCCGCGUGAGUGAUGAUGGCCUUAGGGUUGUAAAGCUCUUUUACCCGGGAUGAUAAUGACAGUACCGGGAGAAUAAGCUCCGGCUAACUCCGUGCCAGCAGCCGCAGUAACAC